UUCCCUCAAAUUAUAAAGGACAUUGCUCGCAAAGAAGUCACUCUAAAUAUUCAGCUUAAAAGUGACAACAUACUGUUGAAUAGCAAGCUCUACUAUGCAAGUGAUGCAUUUGAGUCUGGUUAUUCUGCAACUUUAGUGGGUCAUGCACCCACUUCAACAUCUUCCGGAAUGGGCGAUAAUAUUGUAGUGGAUUUGGAUGAAUACGGAAACACUCCCGGAGACACUCCAGGCUCUUACAAGUCGUCCAACAAGAAAAUUAAGACGGAGAAGUGACAGUUUUCAUCUGCCCAGUUUGCUUCCCAAUAUUCAUGGAUGCUUGAAUUCAAUAUUAGGAAUGCGAUGAACUAUGUUUUUUCCUUUUGAAUAAGUGAUUGCAAUGCUUUGAAACAUUGUUUCUGCUAUUUUUGUUUAGGAUGAUUUAGCAAGAGGUUUACUUGGUUCUCUUUGAACUUAUGUAUUGUUUUUUAAUUCCGUAUUGACUUA